rnacentral:rRNA from 1 species
CCUACGGGAGGCAGCAGUGGGGAAUAUUGCACAAUGGGGGAAACCCUGAUGCAGCGACGCCGCGUGAGUGAAGAAGUAAUUCGUUAUGUAAAGCUCUAUCAGCAGGGAAGAAAAUGACGGUACCUGAGUAAGAAGCCCCGGCUAACUACGUGCCAGCAGCCGCGGUAGUACGAAGGGGGCAGGCGUUAUCCGGAUUUACUGGGGGUAAAGGGAGCGUAGACGGAGGUGAAAGUCUGUGGUGAAAGGCGGGGCUCAACCCCCGGACUGCACUGGAAACUGUACGGCUGGAGUGCAGGAGAGGUAAGUGGAAGUCCUAGUGUAGCGGUGAAAUGCGUAGAUAUCAGGAGGAACGCCAGUGGCGAAGGCAGCUUACUGGACUGUAACUGACGUUGAGGCUCGAAAGCGUGGGGAGCAAACAGGAUUAGAUACCCUUGUAGUC